GUCAUUUUUUUUUUGGCCUUCAAAGGCUUUGUAACGCGCACUUUACUAAUGAAAUGAAAAAAAAAAUUUCAUUAUCUUGUCCAUUCUUGCAUUAAGUUAUCGUUUACCGAGCUUUUUUAAUCUUCUGUCUUUUUCGAUGUCGACGUUGUUUAAAGAUUUUGGGUCAUCGCUGUGUUGAUUCACCCUUUUUAUUCAUGAUCG
rnacentral:lncRNA from 1 species